GAUAAACGCUGGCGGUGUGCCUUAUGCAUGCAAGUCGAACGGUCCUUCCCGCAAGGGAAGGAUAGUGGCGAACGGGUGAGUAACGCGUAAGUAACCUGCCCCUAAGUAAGGAAUAACUCCGAGAAAUUGGAGCUAAUACCAUAGUGAUGGUGGAGGUAGUGCUCCAUCAUUAAAGCCUUCGGGCGCUUGGGGAGGGGCUUGCGUCCGAUUAGCUAGUUGGUAGAGUAAGGGUCUACCAAGGCGACGAUCGGUAGCUGGUUUGAGAGGACGGCCAGCCACACUGGGACUGAGACACGGCCCAGACUCCUACGGGAGGCAGCAGCAAGGAAUUUUGGGCAAUGGGCGAAAGCCUGACCCAGCGACACCGCGUGGGGGAUGAAGGUCUUCGGGUUGUAAACCCCUUUUCUCAGGGAAGAAUAAUGACGGUACCUGAGGAAUAAGCCUCGGCUAACUACGUGCCAGCAGCCGCGGUAAUACGUAGGAGGCGAGCGUUAUCCGGAUUUACUGGGCGUAAAGAGGGCGUAGGUGGCUCUUCAAGUCGGAUGUAAAAUCUCCCGGCUCAACUGGGAGGGAUCAUUCGAUACUGUUAGGCUAGAGGACAGCAGAGGGAGGUGGAAUUCCCGGUGUAGUGGUGAAAUGCGUAGAUAUCGGGAGGAACACCAGUGGCGAAGGCGGCCUCCUGGGCUGUUUCUGACACUGAGGCCCAAAAGCGUGGGGAGCGAACAGGAUUAGAUACCCUGGUAGUCCACGCUGUAAACGAUGGACACUAGGUAUGGGGAGUAUCGACCCUCUCCGUGCCGAAGCUAACGCUCUAAGUGUCCCGCCUGGGGACACGGCCGCAAGGCU
rnacentral:rRNA from 1 species